GCAAUCUCUGGAUAUCUUUCUGUGGUUUGUUAUAAUGGGAGAAGAAGAAGCACUCCCAUCUAGAUUGCUGUAUCAGAAUGGACUGUUAUGAUUGCAAAUGGCAGAAACCUAACUCAAUGCAACUAUAACAAUGAGGGAAAUGUCUUGGCAGCUCUUGAAAUCCAUGGAAGA
ensembl:lncRNA novel transcript